rnacentral:rRNA from 1 species
UACGUAGGGGGCAAGCGUUGUCCGGAUUUAUUGGGCGUAAAGAGCGUGUAGGCGGCCAGACAGGUCCGUUGUGAAAACUCGAGGCUCAACCUCGAGACGCCGAUGGAAACCGUUUGGCUAGAGUCCGGAAGAGGAGAGUGGAAUUCCUGGUGUAGCGGUGAAAUGCGCAGAUAUCAGGAAGAACACCCGUGGCGAAGGCGGCUCUCUGGGACGGUACUGACGCUGAGACGCGAAAGCGUGGGGAGCAAACAGG